UAGGAUAAAACUCGCUAGAACCGUUCUUUGAAAAUAACAAAUGGUUGACUUCUUAAGUUGUCAUCAAACUCGUUGAAGAAAAAUAGAAUUAAAUAAAUGAACGUUAUUCAAGAAAACUAAUAAAUCUUUACCCACAAGUUAUGUUAAAUAAUAAAAUAAAAUUAUCAUCCGACUCACUGUGAAAAAUAAAGGAUUGGAGUUCAAUGUGGUAUCUGGAAUAUAGAUUGUCUCUUGUGUUCGGGGCACUAACUAAUUUUCUGGAUUGUCUACAGGAUUCUUCUUACGGGAAAUUGCACUGUUUGUUCUUCAGAAAUAGGGUCUUGGAUGAUCUCGAAGAAGUAUCGGUAGUUCUCGGAAUAGGUUGUAGGAUGAUUCUCUUUUUAUUUUAAUAUCACAUACAUUGGAGUACACGCCAAAUUUCAACAAUGAGUAAAGUUA